rnacentral:rRNA from 1 species
AGAGUUUGAUCAUGGCUCAGAGUGAACGCUGGCGGCAGGCCUAAUACAUGCAAGUCGAACGGCAGCACAGCAGAGCUUGCUCUGUGGGUGGCGAGUGGCGGACGGGUGAGGAAUACGCGGGAAUCUGCCCAGUCGUGGGGGAUAACGUAGGGAAACUUACGCUAAUACCGCAUGCGCCCUUCGGGGGAAAGCCGGGGACCUUCGGGCCUGGCGCGAUUGGAUGAGCCCACGUCGGAUUAGCUAGUUGGCGGGGUAAAGGCCCACCAAGGCGACGAUCCGUAGCUGGUCUGAGAGGAUGAUCAGCCACACUGGAACUGAGACACGGUCCAGACUCCUACGGGAGGCAGCAGUAGGGAAUAUUGGACAAUGGGCGCAAGCCUGAUCCAGCCAUGCCGCGUGAGUGAAGAAGGCCCUCGGGUUGUAAAGCUCUUUUGUCCGGAAAGAAAAGCGCCGGGUUAAUACCCUGGUGUCCUGACGGUACUGGAAGAAUAAGCACCGGCUAACUUCGUG